rnacentral:tRNA from 1 species
GCCCAGGUGGCGGAAUUGGUAGACGCACCAGAUUUAGGUUCUGGCGCCGAGAGGCGUGGGGGUUCGAGUCCCUUCCUGGGCACCA